UCGGGACAAGCCCGAGCUCUCCCUCCCCCUUUCUUUUUCUUUCGCCGCCGGCCUUCUCCCACAAAAUUCAUCGCCGUUCGGCCACCACGGGACGAACCGCUUGGCAUGGCGUGAUCCUUUCCUCCUUCUCUACCUAGUCAUCUUGUUUUGAUCGGUGGAGGAAGAUUUGAAGGUGUUUGAGAGUGUGAACAGUAACUGUCGAGUUCUUGGUUGUUGUUUGAUCUUUCCGGCCAUUUCUGCUUGAUUUUGGUUGUUGUUGCAGGACGUACUGAUCCCUCGAGCGAGGAGGACACGGGCAGGCAGCAGGGUUAGCUGCGAGACUCACCAAUUUCAGUUUGGCCGAGAUCGCGUCCAGGAACUAGAGGCUUUGGAGGCAGCGCUUCCGUUUUGGCUGUAGGUUAAUACUUAACCUACCUUGUAUGAUAUUGGCUUAGUUAUGUAGCACUGCUCUGAUAACUUUUUAAUUUGGGGAAUGCUAAUGUUUGAGAAUCUGUUAUAGUAUUGAAGUUAAUGUGGGAUUCGUACUUCCUGAAUGUAACUUAUACACGUGGAAUGUAAAUAUUGGAUUGUGCAUGUGAGUAGGAGCUUAUUAUUAAUCA